rnacentral:rRNA from 1 species
UAGAGUUUGAUCCUGGCUCAGAAUCAACGCUGGCGGCGUGCCUCAGACAUGCAAGUCGAACGCGAAAGUUCCCUUCGGGGAGCGAGUAGAGUGGCGCACGGGUGAGUAACACGUAGGUAAUCUACCUUUGGAUGGGGAAUAACAACCGGAAACGGUUGCUAAUACCGCAUAAUGCAGCGGCACCUAAUGGUGACAGUUGUUAAAGCGGGGGAUCGUAAGACCUCGCGUCUGAAGAGGAGCCUGCGGCAGAUUAGCUAGUUGGUAAGGUAACGGCUUACCAAGGCGAUGAUCUGUAGCCGGCCUGAGAGGGCGGUCGGCCACACUGACACUGACAUACGGGUCAGACUCCUACGGGAGGCAGCAGUCGGGAAUUUUGGGCAAUGGGCGAAAGCCUGACCCAGCAACGCCGCGUGAAGGAUGAAAUCCCUCG